rnacentral:lncRNA from 1 species
GGUCUGCUGCGGGCAUGUCCAGGCAAGACAAGUCCAGGUUCCCUUAUCUGCACAUAACAUCUGGUGUAAACACUUGUGGGGCUGGUUGGAGAUUCUCCGGGGACCCUUCCGUAUCUGCCUAGGCAUUUUGCUGUCUCCUCCUAAUACGGAACAAGCACAAUAUAAAAAACAAUUAGAGCAGUUAAACAAGGAUAUAAUACAGCUUCACUAAAUAAGAAGGAACUCACACUUAAAGAUGUGGAACGUAAAUUCUACAAAAUGAAAACUGCUUAUGAAGACGUUACAACUGAGUUAGAAGAAUAUAAGGAAGCCUUUGCAGCAGCAUUGAAAAGGUUACAACUGAGUUAGAAGAAUAUAAGGAAGCCUUUGCAGCAGCAUUGAAAGCUAACAAUUCCAUGUCAAAAAAAUUAACGAAAUCGAAUAAGAAAAUAGCAAUGAUCAGCACCAAGCUCCUUAUGGAGAAAGAGCAGGUGAAAUAUUUUCUCAGCACUCUUCCUACAAGGCAAGGUCGAGAGUCACCUUGUGUUGAAAAUCUUACUAGUAUAGGACUCAACAGAAAAUAUAUUCCCCAAAUGCCCAUAAGAAUUCCUACUUCAAACCGUCAGACUUCAAAUAACUGCCAGAACUACUUGACUGAGCUCUGGAAUGAGUAAUUUUUUUUAGAAGCAGAGGUGGAGCCAAUGAGGAAGCACAGGUGAGCCCUCCCCAGUGUGUACUCACUGGUCCCCAACAGAAGAACCGCUGCCACAUCCACUGAGGCUCCCGUUGUGGUGGGUUGUCAACCCACAACAUCACUCUUCCUGAGUCCCCAUCGCCUCUGUGUUGUGGAGAAGUUAGAGACACACAGCAGUGUCUGUGAGUAGCUCUGCAUGAAGGACCAUUUUCUAGAUGACAGACACAUCUCAACACAGCUCACUGAUCAGACUCAGCAAUUCCAUUCUGCAUUUUUCUCAUCACCCCCCUGACCACCCAGGACAACCCCAUCAGGGCCCUGUCACCAGGCCCAGUCCAGCUCCAUGAUAACCAAGACACAGGUCCAGAGACUACCGUCCUGCAUCGUGCCUGCAUCUGAUCCCCCUUGUGAGAGACAUGGACUCACAGAUGCAGCAUUUCUUGCAACAAGAGAUACUACUUUUUCAAAAAGUCACUGAGGAAUUGAUAGUGUUGAAUGACUCAAUACUCAAUCGUGGACUGUUUCCAGUUCAAGGAUACUUUCUACAGCAGAAUAAUAACACUAGCAAAGAGCUAGUACAAGGAUGGUUUUGUGCUCAACUGAAAUCCAGCUGAAUACAGAAUUGUAUAGGAAACAGUUAAUGUGGUGAUAGAAUAGAAACAGUAGCAAAUGUGAACUAAAUCAUGCUAUGAAUGCCUAAACUACUGCUGUAACUUUUGGAAAAAUGAUAAUACCACUUUAUUGCUUUUUGAAGAAUGAAUAUUUUAGUGUAUAUGCUCUAGACCUCAAACCCUAUAAAGAUUCUCAAAGAAGUUGGCUGGAUAAAGCCUACUGUGGAUGUCUUUAUAUUCAAAGAUUGAUGAUGCAAUUUGAAUAUGUGUCUCC